CGGAGGCGAGCGUUACUCGUAAGUACUGGCGUAAGGGUUGUAGGCGGUUAACUUGAAUAAGUUAACUAGUAAGUGUGUUAACUGGUGUUAUCACUAGUUAACUCAGUGGUGGAGUAGUUGUAAGUGCAAGGUACCUUGGUGGAGGUUGAAUCCGAAGAUCAACGGGACCCAACGGCGAAGGCGUUGUCACUAGUUACUACUAACGCUGAAACGAAGACGUGGGAGCAAACAGGAUU
rnacentral:rRNA from 1 species